GCCCGGGUGGCGGAAUAGGUAGACGCAAGGGACUUAAAAUCCCUCGGUGGGAUACUCACCGUGCCGGUUCGAGUCCGGCCUCGGGCA
rnacentral:tRNA from 1 species